rnacentral:rRNA from 1 species
UAGUGGCGAACGGGUGAGUAACACGUGGGCAAUCUGCCCUGCACUCUGGGACAAGCCCUGGAAACGGGGUCUAAUACCGGAUGAUACCCGGGGGCGCAUGCCCUUGGGUUGAAAGCUCCGGCGGUGCAGGAUGAGCCCGCGGCCUAUCAGCUUGUUGGUGGGGUGAUGGCCUACCAAGGCGACGACGGGUAGCCGGCCUGAGAGGGCGACCGGCCACACUGGGACUGAGACACGGCCCAGACUCCUACGGGAGGCAGCAGUGGGGAAUAUUGCACAAUGGGCGAAAGCCUGAUGCAGCGACGCCGCGUGAGGGAUGACGGCCUUCGGGUUGUAAACCUCUUUCAGCAGGGAAGAAGCGAGAGUGACGGUACCUGCAGAAGAAGCGCCGGCUAACUACGUGCCAGCAGCCGCGGUAAUACGUAGGGCGCAAGCGUUGUCCGGAAUUAUUGGGCGUAAAGAGCUCGUAGGCGGCUUGUCACGUCGGGUGUGAAAGCCCGGGGCUUAACCCCGGGUCUGCAUUCGAUACGGGCAGGCUAGAGUGUG